GACGAACGCUGGCGGUGUGCUUCACACAUGCAAGUCGAACGAGGUAGCAAUACCUAGUGGCGGACGGGUGAGUAACGCGUGGGAAUCUGCCUUUAGAUGGGGGGAUAACGGGUCGAAAGACUCGCUAAUACCGCAUAUGACGAAAGUUGAAAGGAGUAAUCCGUCUAAAGAUGAGCCCGCGUCCGAUUAGCUAGUUGGUAGAGUAAAAGCCUACCAAGGCGACGAUCGGUAGCUGGUCUGAGAGGAUGAUCAGCCACAAUGGGACUAGAGACACGGCCCAUACUCCUACGGAGGCAGCAGUGGGAAUUUACGCAAUGGGCGAAAGCCUGACGUAGCGACACCGCGUGAGCGAAGAAGCCCCUUGGGGUGUAAAGCUCUGUCAGCUGGAACGAAAAAAGUGACGGUACCAGCAGAGGAAGCAUCGGCUAACUACGUGCCAGCAGCCGCGGUAAU
rnacentral:rRNA from 1 species